AGGGGGCUAGCUCAGUGGCAGAGCAUGUGUUUCUCAUGCACAAGGUCCCAGGCUCAGUCCCUGCCGUCCCAGG